AGGGCUGUAGCUCAGUGGUAGAGAGCUUGCCUAGCAUGUGAGCGGCACUGGGUUCAAUUCACAGCAGCACAU
rnacentral:tRNA from 1 species